rnacentral:pre_miRNA from 1 species
AAAAAAUCAUACGUUUAAGUAGUGGAUACAAAAGGCGAUUUAUAUAAAAAAGUUCGCAUUGUAUGUCCUACUUAAGUGGCUGAUUUUUU